rnacentral:rRNA from 1 species
CCUACGGGCGGCAGCAGUGAGGAAUAUUGGUCAAUGGGCGCGAGCCUGAACCAGCCAAGUAGCGUGAAGGAUGACUGCCCUAUGGGUUGUAAACUUCUUUUAUAAAGGAAUAAAGUGAGGCACGUGUGCCUUUUUGUAUGUACUUUAUGAAUAAGGAUCGGCUAACUCCGUGCCAGCAGCCGCGGUAAUACGGAGGAUCCGAGCGUUAUCCGGAUUUAUUGGGUUUAAAGGGAGCGUAGAUGGGUUGUUAAGUCAGUUGUGAAAGUUUGCGGCUCAACCGUAAAAUUGCAGUUGAUACUGGCAGGCUUGAGUACAGUAGAGGUAGGCGGAAUUCGUGGUGUAGCGGUGAAAUGCUUAGAUAUCACGAAGAACUCCGAUUGCGAAGGCAGCUUACUAAACUGCCACUGACACUGAGGCUCGAAAGUGUGGGUAUCAAACAGGAUUAGAUACCCUGGUAGUC